CUUUUUCUAAAAACAAAUUCAUCGGAAAGUACCAAGACCUUGUUAAUAAAUAUUCUGUAUCAACUUUACAAAUAAUUCAUGGUGGCCUUGAUGUAUCGAUUCUGCGUACUGAUGUUGUUUAUCAUCUUAACAACGUGUUUUGUUGUUCUUUCAUUUGUCUUUGUUCUAUUUUUUAUAUUACUUUUACUGUUAGGUUGUUUUAUGUGAUAUCCUUUUAACGUGGCUUGGUACUUACACAUCCCGUCAAUGUGUUUGUAUUGUCUUUAAUUUUUUGGUAGUGUGUUUUGUAUUUCUUUGGUUCUUAUAACGUGACUCUGUACUUUAAAAGAUACCGUCAGUAUGAUAUUGUUCUAUUUUAUGUCAUUAUGAUAUAUUUCU
rnacentral:lncRNA from 1 species